GAUGAAGAACGCAGCGAAAUGCGAUACGUAAUGUGAAUUGCAAAUUCAGUGAAUCAUCGAGUCUUUGAACGCACAUUGCGCCCCCUGGUAUUCCGGGGGGCAUGCCUGUCCGAGCGUCAUUGCUGCCCUCAAGCACGGCUUGUGUGUUGGGCCCCGUCCUCCGAUCCCGGGGGACGGGCCCGAAAGGCAGCGGCGGCACCGCGUCCGGUCCUCGAGCGUAUGGGGCUUUGUCACCCGCUCUGUAGGCCCGGCCGGCGCUUGCCGAUCAACCCAAAUUUUUAUCCAGGUUGACCUCGGAUCAGGUAGGGAUACCCGCUGAACUUAAGCAUAUCAUAAGCGGAGGG
rnacentral:misc_RNA from 1 species